AUGGCCCUCAACAGCGCGCCAGCGUUAAGUGGGAGAAAGAGAGGACGAAGGGAAGACCGGGGAGACCAGAGGAGCUGGCGAAGCCAGAAGUUUUCUGCUGAAAACGCAGCAAUGCACCCCACACAUCCCGAAUUCCCAUUCUAAACUGAAAUGGAGCCUCACUGGUCCCGCGAGCCAAGCAUGCCAAUCUCUUUCGUUUUGGGAAUCUGGGGUUCAGGGGAGCUCAAUUCACACAAUCGGUGGUUUCAGUACAACAGAGAGCACGGGAUUCCCUAAGUCACACGCCGCAGCCU
rnacentral:lncRNA from 1 species